rnacentral:rRNA from 1 species
UACAGAGGUCUCGAGCGUUGAUCGGAAUUAUUGGGCUUAAAGGGUGCGUAGGCGGUCCUGUCAGUGCCUUGUGAAAUCCCAUGGCUCAACCAUGGAAUUGCUCGGUAGACCACAGGACUUGAGGGUCGGUAGGGGUCGCUGGAACGUCUAGGUGGAGCGGUGAAAUGCGUAGAUAUCUAGAGGAACGCCAAAGGUGAAGACAGGCGACUGGGCCGAUUCUGA